CCGCGUGUGUGAAGAAGGCCUUCGGGUUGUAAAGCACUUUCGGACGGAACGAAAUCGCGCGCAUGAACAAUGCGCGUGGAUGACGGUACCGUAAGAAGAAGCACCGGCUAACUACGUGCCAGCAGCCGCGGUAAUACGUAGGGUGCAAGCGUUAAUCGGAAUUACUGGGCGUAAAGGGUGCGCAGGCGGCCCCGCAUGUCAGGCGUGAAAUCCCCGGGCUCAACUUGGGAAUGGCGCUUGAAACUACGGGGCUGGAGUGUGGCAGAGGGAGGUGGAAUUCCACGUGUAGCGGUGAAAUGCGUAGAGAUGUGGAGGAACACCGAUGGCGAAGGCAGCCUCCUGGGCCAACACUGACGCUCAUGCACGAAAGCGUGGGGAGCAAACAGGAUUAGAUACCCUGGUAGUCCACGCCCUAAACGAUGACGACUAGUUGUUGGGGGAGUUAAAUCCCUUAGUAACGCAGCUAACGCGUGAAGUCGUCCGCCGUGGGGAGUACGGUCGCAAGAAUUA
rnacentral:rRNA from 1 species